CAUGAGUUAUGUCAUGUUAUCGAUAUGUGAAUACAUAGCAUAUCAGAAGGCACACCCGGAGAACUGAAACAUCUUAGUACCCGGAGGAAGAGAAAGAAAAUUCGAUUCCCUUAGUAGCGGCGAGCGAAACGGGAAGAGCCCAAACCAACAAGCUUGCUUGUUGGGGUUGUAGGACACUCUAUACGGAGUUACAAAGGACGACAUUAGACGAAUCAUCUGGAAAGAUGAAUCAAAGAAGGUAAUAAUCCUGUAGUCGAAAAUGUUGUCUCUCUUGAGUGGAUCCUGAGUACGACGGAGCACGUGAAAUUCCGUCGGAAUCUGGGAGGACCAUCUCCUAAGGCUAAAUACUCUCUAGUGACCGAUAGUGAACCAGUACCGUGAGGGAAAGGUGAAAAGCACCCCGGAAGGGGAGUGAAAUAGAACCUGAAACCGUGUGCUUACAAGUAGUCAGAGCCCGUUAAUGGGUGAUGGCGUGCCUUUUGUAGAAUGAACCGGCGAGUUACGAUUUGAUGCAAGGUUAAGCAGUAAAUGUGGAGCCGUAGCGAAAGCGAGUCUGAAUAGGGCGUUUAGUAUUUGGUCGUAGACCCGAAACCAGGUGAUCUACCCUUGGUCAGGUUGAAGUUCAGGUAACACUGAAUGGAGGACCGAACCGACUUACGUUGAAAAGUGAGCGGAUGAACUGAGGGUAGCGGAGAAAUUCCAAUCGAACCUGGAGAUAGCUGGUUCUCUCCGAAAUAGCUUUAGGGCUAGCCUCAAGUGAUGAUUAUUGGAGGUAGAGCACUGUUUGGACGAGGGGCCCCUCUCGGGUUACCGAAUUCAGACAAACUCCGAAUGCCAAUUAAUUUAACUUGGGAGUCAGAACAUGGGUGAUAAGGUCCGUGUUCGAAAGGGAAACAGCCCAGACCACCAGCUAAGGUCCCAAAAUAUAUGUUAAGUGGAAAAGGAUGUGGCGUUGCCCAGACAACUAGGAUGUUGGCUUAGAAGCAGCCAUCAUUUAAAGAGUGCGUAAUAGCUCACUAGUCGAGUGACACUGCGCCGAAAAUGUACCGGGGCUAAACAUAUUACCGAAGCUGUGGAUUGUCCUUUGGACAAUGGUAGGAGAGCGUUCUAAGGGCGUUGAAGCAUGAUCGUAAGGACAUGUGGAGCGCUUAGAAGUGAGAAUGCCGGUGUGAGUAGCGAAAGACGGGUGAGAAUCCCGUCCACCGAUUGACUAAGGUUUCCAGAGGAAGGCUCGUCCGCUCUGGGUUAGUCGGGUCCUAAGCUGAGGCCGACAGGCGUAGGCGAUGGAUAACAGGUUGAUAUUCCUGUACCACCUAUAAUCGUUUUAAUCGAUGGGGGGACGCAGUAGGAUAGGCGAAGCGUGCGAUUGGAUUGCACGUCUAAGCAGUAAGGCUGAGUAUUAGGCAAAUCCGGUACUCGUUAAGGCUGAGCUGUGAUGGGGAGAAGACGUUGUGUCUUCGAGUCGUUGAUUUCACACUGCCGAGAAAAGCCUCUAGAUAGAAAAUAGGUGCCCGUACCGCAAACCGACACAGGUAGUCAAGAUGAGAAUUCUAAGGUGAGCGAGCGAACUCUCGUUAAGGAACUCGGCAAAAUGACCCCGUAACUUCGGGAGAAGGGGUGCUCUUUAGGGUUAACGCCCAGAAGAGCCGCAGUGAAUAGGCCCAAGCGACUGUUUAUCAAAAACACAGGUCUCUGCUAAACCGUAAGGUGAUGUAUAGGGGCUGACGCCUGCCCGGUGCUGGAAGGUUAAGAGGAGUGGUUAGCUUCUGCGAAGCUACGAAUCGAAGCCCCAGUAAACGGCGGCCGUAACUAUAACGGUCCUAAGGUAGCGAAAUUCCUUGUCGGGUAAGUUCCGACCCGCACGAAAGGCGUAACGAUUUGGGCACUGUCUCAACGAGAGACUCGGUGAAAUCAUAGUACCUGUGAAGAUGCAGGUUACCCGCGACAGGACGGAAAGACCCCGUGGAGCUUUACUGUAGCCUGAUAUUGAAAUUCGGCACAGCUUGUACAGGAUAGGUAGGAGCCUUUGAAACGUGAGCGCUAGCUUACGUGGAGGCGCUGGUGGGAUACUACCCUAGCUGUGUUGGCUUUCUAACCCGCACCACUUAUCGUGGUGGGAGACAGUGUCAGGCGGGCAGUUUGACUGGGGCGGUCGCCUCCUAAAAGGUAACGGAGGCGCUCAAAGGUUCCCUCAGAAUGGUUGGAAAUCAUUCAUAGAGUGUAAAGGCAUAAGGGAGCUUGACUGCGAGACCUACAAGUCGAGCAGGGUCGAAAGACGGACUUAGUGAUCCGGUGGUUCCGCAUGGAAGGGCCAUCGCUCAACGGAUAAAAGCUACCCCGGGGAUAACAGGCUUAUCUCCCCCAAGAGUUCACAUCGACGGGGAGGUUUGGCACCUCGAUGUCGGCUCAUCGCAUCCUGGGGCUGUAGUCGGUCCCAAGGGUUGGGCUGUUCGCCCAUUAAAGCGGUACGCGAGCUGGGUUCAGAACGUCGUGAGACAGUUCGGUCCCUAUCCGUCGUGGGCGUAGGAAAUUUGAGAGGAGCUGUCCUUAGUACGAGAGGACCGGGAUGGACAUACCUCUGGUGUACCAGUUGUCGUGCCAACGGCAUAGCUGGGUAGCUAUGUGUGGACGGGAUAAGUGCUGAAAGCAUCUAAGCAUGAAGCCCCCCUCAAGAUGAGAUUUCCCAACUUCGGUUAUAAGAUCCCUCAAAGAUGAUGAGGUUAAUAGGUUCGAGGUGGAAGCAUGGUGACAUGUGGAGCUGACGAAUACUAAUCGAUCGAAGACUUAAUCAA
rnacentral:rRNA from 1 species